rnacentral:rRNA from 1 species
GACGGAGGAUGCAAGCGUUAUCCGGAAUUAUUGGGCGUAAAGCGUCCGCAGGUGGCUGUUCAAGUCUGCUGUCAAAGCGCAGAGCUUAACUCUGUACAGGCGGUGGAAACUGAAGAGCUAGAGUAUGGCAGGGGUAGAGGGAAUUCCCGGUGUAGCGGUGAAAUGCGUAGAUAUCGGGAAGAACACCAGUGGCGAAAGCGCUCUACUGGGCCAUAACUGACACUGAGGGACGAAAGCUAGGGGAGCGAAAGGG